AGGCUGUUGUGUGCGCUAUCCGGGCGGCUUCACCUUACUCUCUCCAGGUAGCCCAAACGAAAUCUUUUAUCCCAGUACCGCUCUGAUAACUCCUUCAGACUUUCAUCUCUUUCCGAAAGUGGCGUGCUGCCCAGAGAUGGACAUAAUCCACCAGUUGCAGAUUAGUCGGCGCCUGAUAAAGGCCUAGCAAACCCCAACGCCUUUUUAACAGCUUUCCCGACUUGUUUCUGUUCUUUAAAUUAAUUUAGAUUGCCUCUCGAACAUGAACAGUACGUAAUCAUUUGGGGCAUAGAAGGAUAGCAUUUGGUCAUUCGAGUAUAUGCUAGCUCUCUACGGAACAACCCAUUCGAUUCCAUUUCCUUACUCAAUCCCUGUAGCGUCUGUUCAAUCUCCUUUAUAAAUGAUGGUUUCUACUUCCAGCAACCUGUUAGACAGCAUCUUCCAGGUCAAUUAUACUUGUUGCUUAAAGAAAGGUUAUUUCCCUUACCCUAAACUUUAAAGCUGUGUUCCCUUAGCCCUUGUACUACCACCUAAUUCUGGACAGUUUUUACUUGUCUACUUUAUGUCAUAAUCUUAUACAGCUCUUACUGAAUGUCCUUUGUUCCAGGAGAACAACACCAACUUUUCCAAACUAACUUUGCAGCUAAUAUCCCUCAUCUAUGCUGUCACGUCUGGUAAGUUUCUUCUGCACAUCCAGAUGCUUCCUCACGUGUGAUCACAAGAACCGGGAGCAAUACUCUGCAACCUCUCCGGCCUGGAAAUUUAUUGUUUAGAAAGAUAAAAACAGUUCUCUGGAUUUUAUUUUUUGAGCAGAUCUAGACCGAGGUGCUGCAGCAAAUCGGGAAGGCAUGAGCUCACCUCGUUGAGGAAAGCGCAGGAUUUCAAGGGUUGAGUGACUUUGUAACCUUGUCUUGUACUCAGAGUGACUUUUUAACUUUGUUGUACUCUUCCACCCUACAGGAUCACCUCAUCCCCUCUGUCGUCUGCCAUUUCCCGCCCAAACUCUCUUUACAGAGGUGAUUUUGAGCAGACCCAAUUAUUCUCAGGAUAUAGUUUGUCUUUUAAACUCUCACCAUGGCAUCUAAGAAAAGUGCAACAAAACGUAAGCAUGUUACACUUACAAUCUCAGAAAAGAUUGAAAUCAUAAAUAAACUAGAUAAAGGUUCUUCAGUAAAGUCAUUGUGUGAGGCAUAUGGUGUGGGGGUCUCAACAAUUUAUGACAUCAACAAGCAGCGUGAAAAGCUAUUUAAAUUUUGUGCUGAAAGUGACACAGUUAAAGGAAUUAGGGAACGCAGAACGCUGCAUCGUGCUAAGUCUGCUGACCAUGAUAAUGUCCUAUAUAAGUGGUUCAGGCAACGUCGUAGUGAGGGGCUCCCUAUUUCGGGAACAAUGCUGAUGGAAAAGGCCAAACAAUUUCAUACUGAUUUGAGAAUUAAUUCUGUGUGUGAGUACUCUCAAGGUUGGUUGCAGAAGUUUAAACAUAGGCACGGAAUUCGCCUCAAGGCUACUGGUGAACAAACUUCUGCAGAUAAACGGGCUGUUGAAUGUUACAUAACUGACUUUGCAAAGUUAAUGAAGGAUGAGGAUCUUAGCCCUGAGCAAAUAUAUAAUGCGGAUGAGACAGAUGUUUUCUGGAGAUGUUUGCCACCACACAGGCUUGCUGGUGCAGAGGAGAUGAUGGUACAUGAUUACAAAGAAUCAUCAGAAAGAAUUACUGUGCUCGCAUGUGCUAAUGCUGCUGGAACACAUAAGUGUAAACUUUUGGUUGUUGGUAAAUGUCCUCGUGUUUUCAAAGGAAUGAAAAUUAUGCCGGUGCUUUAUGAAGCCAAUAAAUGUUCGUGGGUCACCCAGGAAAUAUUGAGUGAUUGGUUCCAUAAUCAUUUUGUUCCAGAGGCUCGUGCACACUGUAGAGAGGUUGGCUUGGCUGCAGAUUGCAAAAUUGUCCUUCUUUUAAAUAACUGUACAGCUCACCCCCCUAGAGAACAAUUAGAUGCUGACAAUGUCUUCCCUACCUAUCUACCUGCUAGUUGCUCAUCUUCAAUUCAGCCAAUGAACCAAGGAGUUAUUAGGUCAAUGAAAAGUCACUACAGAAACAGUUUUUUGCGUCGUCUUGUGAGCAGCUACAAUACUGGUGGUGUUGAUGCUUUUAAGAAUGCCUUGAGUCUCAAAGAUGCUAUUUGGUGUUUGGCAAAUGCAUGGGACAGUGUCACAAGGAGAACCUUACAAAAUGCAUGGCGUAAGUUGUGUCCUGUAAUUAUGUUUAACGAUGAGGACACAGGGGAAAGCUCGGAGGGUUUUAAUUUAAGUGAAGCCAAGGCAAUGGUGACUGAUCUCUUGUGUUGUACCAAGCAACUGGGAAGUGACUUGAAUGAGGAAGACAUUUUGACAUGGUUAAAUUGUGAAGAUAAUACUUCAGUUGUACAACAAGUAACAAAUUCAGAGAUAUUUGAGGUAGUUUUACACCACAAGUCUGAGGAUAGUGAUACCAGCAAUGAAGAAGAUAAUGCUACUGGGAAGAAAAUUACCUUGGAAGAGGGGAUCAGUCUAGCUUCCCGUUUCAUUCGCUUUCUUGAGCAACAAAGUUUUGUAAGCCAGCAAGAUAUAAUGCAUGUACACAGGAUCCAGGAGAAACUGAUAAGUGAGCAGCCAAAACACAUGAAACAAAUGAAGUUGCAGCAAAUGUUUGAUGAAGUUGGAAAGUCGUUUGCACACGCGCCAUCAACAUCACUGAACUCGAUCCCAUCAACCAGCAGAGUCAAUGAAACAAAGGACCCAGAGUUGACUGCUCUUGCUAUCAAUUAUCAUCAAUUUUCUCCUACGCCUCUUCUAAAUAUUGGUGAAACAAAGCAAUGUAUGGAAUAACUUGUUCCCUUUAAGUCAUCAACAGCAUUUUAAUACAGUACUUUGAAAUUGUAAGCAUAAAUAUGUGUAUUUGAAUAAGUAAAAUAAAUUUUAUUAUUACUUCACAAAAUGUUAUCAGUAUUUUGUGUCUCUGGUAAAUAUUUAUAUGCAUGAUGUUUUCUGGUUCUAUUACUUGUGGUUAAGAAUUUUAACAUUUCUCUAUAAUCCAGAAAUGGCUUGGUCCCUAACAUUCCAGACUGGAGAGGUUGCAGUGCGGCCUAAUCAGAGCUUUAUAAGGGUUCAGCAGAAAUUCAUUUCUGUACUUUUUGUACUUAAUGCUUCUGUUUGUGAAGAUGAAGAUCUCACAUGCUUUGCUAACCACUCUGUCCCUGCUGCAAAUGGGCAUGUUGUCGGGCCAGCAGUUAUUGGGUUCUCUCCCUUUAUUCUAAAUUAGGGGUGUAACAUUUCUAAGUCUCCAAUUCUCUGGCACCACUCCAAUAUGCAGUAAGGAUUUGAUGAUUGUGCCCAGUGCCUGUGUGAUUUACACCAUUACUUCUAUCAUAAACCUAGAGGCUAUACUCCAUUUUAGUAUGAGACCUUUCAUAGUGCCCCUGCCCGUCACAACUACCAUAGCCACAGUGGCUUCUAGCUAUUCUAAAGAUUGCCCAUUUACAUUGCUGGCCUGACAGCUGGGGCCCCGUUGAUUUUAAAAAUUUAUGAAUCGGUCUUCAGAGGACACCUCCAUCUCUGUCCUCCUGACAUCGACAGCACCCUCUUCUACAUUUACAGUGGAGCUCUGUCAGAGGUGAGCAACCAAUCUUUCAGUGCUCAAUAGCCUCCUGUUGGCCCUCUAGUCACCAUUUUUAAUUGGUUGGUGAUGGACAUACUGGCCUUCAGGUUAAUAAAUCGUGUUGGACAUCAGGCACUGAUGUGAUGGGGUCAGGACCCGGAAAUGUACCCAUGCCAGAGUUGCAACCCCAGAAUGAAAAUUCAGCCCAUGGUCUACAUUUCACAUUUUGCUUUUCUAUUUCAUAUCUGAUCAUGUUAAAUUGAACAAAGAUGUCCCCACUGUGUCAUCGCAUUUGUUACCGGUGGACUUCAUUGAGAAUUACUGGUCUAGUUUGGUCUUCAAGGCAAGAAAUAAAGGUGUUGCCAAUAGCUUCCUACAGCCUUCAAACUCGCUUUGGUUUAGAUGCACGUCAAUGCCUCUUGACUCAAAAACCCUGGAUGUUGAAAAGUUCUAAAUUGAGUUCUUCAGCAUCAGGCUUGCCACCAGGUAAAGAAGAUGGCACUGGACAGUUCACAGAAAGCAGUAUUUUGCAAAACACAGAUGAUAACCAUGGCAAAUCAGAACUGCCUAGUCUGGUGAAAGAUGUACAAUCUGUAGGUAAGCUAU